GCAGGGAUACAGAUCUGCUAAAACCCUGUUAGGAGUAUAUAUACAUAUUUAAAAAAGCUAUAUAAGUGAGAGACUCGUAAGUUUGAACAGACAGAGGAAGUUUAUUCCAGCACUUGGGUGCUGGUACAGAGAGGAACCUUGAUGCCCGGUCUUCCUCAAGUUCUGGGUGAAGAAUCAAGAUGAGCAAGACUAGUGACUCGAAGCUUGCAUGGUACAGAGCGAGGUUUAAAGGCCUGUAAUUCUGUCAAAACUUACACCAAUUCUUCAACAGUUGAUAUAUGUAAAGAACCAGCAUGAACUUCUUCAGCAGUUUGAGCUACAGUAGCUCGUCUGUUGGAUCGGACCACACGAGCCAGCCUUCGCUCCCCACGUGCCCAUGAUCCUGUCGCCGGUUUACCACUGUUCCUUCCUUGGACCACUUUUGAUAGAUAGUGACCAUUGCAGACCGGGACACACCCCACAAGAGCUGCAGUUCUGGAGAUGCUCUGACCCAGUCGUCUAGCCAUCACAGUUUGGCCCUCGUCACACUCGCCCAUUUUUCCUGCUUCUAACAUUAAAUUUGAGGAUAAAAUGUUCACUUGCUGCCUAAUAUAUGCCCC